CCUACGGGAGGCAGCAGUAGGGAAUCUUCGGCAAUGGACGAAAGUCUGACCGAGCAACGCCGCGUGAGUGAAGAAGGUUUUCGGAUCGUAAAACUCUGUUGUUAGAGAAGAACAAGUGGGAGAGUAACUGUUCCCACCUUGACGGUAUCUAACCAGAAAGCCACGGCUAACUACGUGCCAGCAGCCGCGGUAAUACGUAGGUGGCAAGCGUUGUCCGGAUUUAUUGGGCGUAAAGCGAGCGCAGGCGGUUUCUUAAGUCUGAUGUGAAAGCCCUCGGCUCAACCGAGGAAGGUCAUUGGAAACUGGGGAACUUGAAUGCAGAAGAGGAGAGUGGAAUUCCAUGUGUAGCGGUGAAAUGCGUAGAUAUAUGGAGGAACACCAGUGGCGAAGGCGACUCUCUGGUCUGUAAUUGACGCUGAGGCUCGAAAGUGUGGGGAGCAAACAGGAUUAGAUACCCUGGUAGUCCACGCCGUAAACGAUGAGUGCUAAGUGUUGGAGGGUUUCCGCCCUUCAGUGCUGCNGUUAACGCAUUAAGCACUCCGCCUGGGGAUACGGCCGCAAGGCUGAACCUUAAAGGAAUUGACGGCUGNGAGNGCGAGACGACGACGAGGGAGGAGG
rnacentral:rRNA from 1 species